rnacentral:hammerhead_ribozyme from 1 species
AUCCAGCUGACGAGUUCCAAAUAGGACGAAACGCGUGUCCUAGAU